rnacentral:rRNA from 1 species
AUUGAACGCUGGCGGCAGGCCUAACACAUGCAAGUCGAGCGGAUGAAGGGAGCUUGCUCCUGGAUUCAGCGGCGGACGGGUGAGUAAUGCCUAGGAAUCUGCCUGGUAGUGGGGGAUAACGUCCGGAAACGGGCGCUAAUACCGCAUACGUCCUGAGGGAGAAAGUGGGGGAUCUUCGGACCUCACGCUAUCAGAUGAGCCUAGGUCGGAUUAGCUAGUUGGUGGGGGAAAGGCCUACCAAGGCGACGAUCCGUAACUGGUCUGAGAGGAUGAUCAGACACACUGGAACUGAGACACGGUCCAGACUCCUACGGGAGGCAGCAGUGGGGAAUAUUGGACAAUGGGCGAAAGCCUGAUCCAGCCAUGCCGCGUGUGUGAAGAAGGUCUUCGGAUUGUAAAGCACUUUAAGUUGGGAGGAAGGGCAGUAAGUUAAUACCUUGCUGUUUUGACGUUACCAACAGAAUAAGCACCGGCUAACUUCGUG